rnacentral:tRNA from 1 species
AGCUAUUCCCAUGGGGCAGUUUGUCUUGAAAAUAAACUAAGAGUGCUCAACCGAUCACAGCCUAGCA